UGAGGAAUAUUGGUCAAUGGGCGAGAGCCUGAACCAGCCAAAUCGCGUGAAGGAAGACUGCCUUAUGGGUUGUAAACUUCUUUUAUACAGGAAUAAAAAAGGGACGUGUCCCCUUAUUGCAUGUACUGUAUGAAUAAGCAUCGGCUAACUCCGUGCCAGCAGCCGCGGUAAUACGGAGGAUGCGAGCGUUAUCCGGAUUUAUUGGGUUUAAAGGGUGCGCAGGCGGGCUUUUAAGUCAGCGGUGAAAUCUCGGGGCUUAACUCCGAAACUGCCGUUGAAACUGGGAGCCUUGAGUAUGGAUGAAGUAGGCGGAAUUCGUUGUGUAGCGGUGACAUGCUUAGAUAUAACGAGGAACUCCGAUUGCCGUAGGCAGCUUACUAAGCCAUAANUGACGCUCAAGCACGAAAGCGUGGGGAUCAAACAGAUAGAUACCCUGGUAGUCCACGCCGUAAACGAUUGAUCUAGUUGUAUGCGAUAUACCGUAUGUGACUAAGCGAAA
rnacentral:rRNA from 1 species